AGUGAACGCUGGCGGCGUGCUUAACACAUGCAAGUCGAACGAGAACGGGUUAUAGCUUGCUAUAAUUGUCAGCUAAGUGGCGCACGGGUGAGUAAUGUAUAGGUAAUAUGCCUCUUACUAAGGGACAACAGUUGGAAACGACUGCUAAUACCCUAUACUCCUUUUUAACUCAAGUUAAAUCGGGAAAGUUUUUUCGCUAAAGGAUGGGGCUGUAUCGUAUCAGCUAGUUGGUGGGGUAACGGCCUACCAAGGCUAUGACACGUAGCUGGUCUGAGAGGAUGAUCAGCCACACUGGAACUGAGACACGGUCCAGACUCCUACGGGAGGCAGCAGUGAGGAAUAUUGCACAAUGGGGGAAACCCUGAUGCAGCAACGCCGCGUGGAGGAUGACACAUUUCGGUGCGUAAACUCCUUUCAAGAGGGAAGAAAUUUGACGGUACCUCUUGAAUAAGCACCGGCUAACUCCGUGCCAGCAGCCGCAGUAA
rnacentral:rRNA from 1 species